UUGACGGGACCCGCACAAGCGGUGGAUGAUGUGGAUUAAUUCGAUGCAACGCGAAAACCUUACCUACCCUUGACAUGUCUGGAACCUUGGUGAGAGCCGAGGGUGCCUUCGGGAGCCAGAACACAGGUGCUGCAUGGCUGUCGUCAGCUCGUGUCGUGAGAUGUUGGGUUAAGUCCCGCAACGAGCGCAACCCUUGUCACUAGUUGCCAUCAUUUGGUUGGGCACUCUAGUGAGACUGCCGGUGACAAACCGGAGGAAGGUGGGGAUGACGUCAAGUCCUCAUGGCCCUUAUGGGUAGGGCUUCACACGUCAUACAAUGGUCGGUACAGAGGGUUGCCAAGCCGCGAGGUGGAGCCAAUCCCUUAAAGCCGAUCGUAGUCCGGAUCGCAGUCUGCAACUCGACUGCGUGAAGUCGGAAUCGCUAGUAAUCGUGGAUCAGCAUGUCACGGUGAAUACGUUCCCGGGUCUU
rnacentral:rRNA from 1 species